GUUUUAUUUGCUAUUCUAUUUUCUAAAAAUUCUUAGUGCCCUUUGUGAAAGCUGUCACAUCCCACGGGGUUACUGCCCCUCCUGGUCACAGGCAGCACCACUCAGUGCCGCUAGGGAACACUCACGUAUCAGCUCACAGUCUCAUAGGACACAGAGGUAUAAAAGGAGCCAGCGGAGCAGAACCGAUUGCGGAUUCUUAAUCAGCGGUUCCAUUGUGCUCUCCUGGCAAUUAGUAGUCUCUUGUUCCCUCAGUCUGUUUCCUAGGUGUUCGUGUUCCAGUCCCGAGUGCCCGUCCUGUCAGUUCCUGCCUCGUUCUCCAGUUCUGGUCCAGCGUUCCAGUCCGGUAUUUCAUCACGUCUCAGGGUUCGAGUCAUACUCACAGAGUAGCGUUUCACCGUUCACCGUAAUUCAAACACCGUGUGUGUUUCCUGGUCUCGUGUUUCCUGUUUCACUUCCACAGAGCGUCUUACAGUCUGCAGAGUGCACUUUUAACGUCACUGCAUGCGAGUUCAUUUCACGUUUCGUCCGUGUUUGGACGUAAUAGCAACGCGUGUCCAUGUCGGACUCCCGUCCGGACGCUACAGAAUCCACCUGCUAUGACUUCAGCAGAAUGGCGUGAAAUGGUAGAGCUGACAAAGAAGGCGAACCAAGAACAACUCACGGUUUGUACAAACGUCGCUCACCACAUAACGGAUCGCUUGGUGUGGUUGACAACUCAUCAGUUGACACGGGCAUGGUGCCAGUCCGACCAGUUCACAAGCGCAUUACUGGCAGGCAUGUCCUCCUGCUGCCGCCUCGUGUCCCCGCACUGAGCAUGCAGCUGCUCUAUGACAGUGAGCCAGCACAAGUACGCCACACUGUCAGCUAUGUACCGCUCGAAUAACACUGCAUCAGACAGGGAUCAAUACGACUCAGUAACGGGCGUCAGAGAGGAGGAAAGGAGGCACCGUUUUCUGCAACACUUGUGCUUUCACUGUGGAGCUACGGAUCACGUUCAGGUUUCCAGUCCAGUGCAGCCAUCCCGUGGAUCCUCACGGACCGACUUACUGCUUUCAGAAUUAAGAAGUUGGCUGAUGUCACACAGAACCAAGACAACUAAACCCAAAUGUAGAGUGGUUCACCUGGAUUCAAGGGAUCAGGCAAGUUCUUGGUUUCAGGGACAAUCAAUCAGCAGUUAGCAUUGGAAUGAAGAUCCAUGGAUAUGGUCAGGAAACAAAGCAAAACACUAAAAACCCAGAGGGC
ensembl:lncRNA